rnacentral:rRNA from 1 species
UCCGAGUGGUAGGGACGAUUAUUGGGCUUAAAGCGUCCGUAGCCGGCCUGGCAAGUCUUCCGUCAAAUCCAACGAUUCAAUCGUUGGACUGCGGGAGAUACUGUCAGGCUAGGGGGCGGGAGAGGCUGACGGUAUUCUCGGGGUAGGGGUAAAAUCCUAUAAUCCCGGGAAGACCACCAGUGGCGAAGGCGGUCGGCUAGAACGCGCCCGACGGUGAGGGACGAAAGCUGGGGGAGCGAACCGGAUUAGAUACCCGGGUAGUCCCAGCCGUAAACGAUGUGGGCUAGGUGUUGGAGCGGCUACGGGCCGCUUCAGUGCCGCAGGGAAACCAUUAAGCCCGCCGCCUGGGGAGUACGGCCGCAAGGCUGAAACUUAAAGGAAUUGGCGGGGGAGCACCACAAGGGGUGAAGCUUGCGGUUUAAUUGGAGUCAACGCCGGGAAACUUACCGGGGGCGACUGCAGGAUGAAGGCCAGAUUGAAGGUCUUGCUGGACGAGCUGAGAGGAGGUGCAUGGCCGUCGCCAGUUCGUGCCGUGAGGUGUCCUGUUAAGUCAGGCAACGAUCGAGACCCACGCCCCCUGUUGCCACCGAGGAGGUUCUCCAAGGGGCACUCUGGGGGGACCGCCGCCGACAAGGCGGAGGAAGGAGUGGGCCACGGCAGGUCAGUAUGCCCCGAAUCCCCCGGGCCACACGCGAGCUGCAAUGGCUGGGGCAGAGGGUUCCAACCCCGAGAGGGGGAGGUAAUCCCUAAACCCAGCCGUAGUUGGGAUCGAGGGCUGAAACUCGCCCUCGUGAACAUGGAAUCCCUAGUAAUCGCGCGUCAUCAUCGCGCGG